CAGUAGCCGCGGUAAUACGUAGGGUGCAAGCGUUAAUCGGAAUUACUGGGCGUAAAGCGUGCGCAGGCGGUUCUAUAAGACAGAUGUGAAAUCCCCGGGCUCAACCUGGGAACUGCAUUUGUGACUGUAGAGCUGGAGUACGGUAGAGGGGGAUGGAAUUCCGCGUGUAGCAGUGAAAUGCGUAGAUAUGCGGAGGAACACCGAUGGCGAAGGCAAUCCCCUGGACCUGUACUGACGCUCAUGCACGAAAGCGUGGGGAGCAAACAGGAUUAGAUACCCCUGUAGUCCCUGUCUCUUAUAC
rnacentral:rRNA from 1 species